rnacentral:rRNA from 1 species
AUUGAACGCUAGCGGGAUGCUUUACACAUGCAAGUCGAACGAGUCGCGGCCGUGUUAGUAAUAAAUCGGAACGUGCCCAGUAGCGGGGGAUAACUACUCGGCAGUGUGGCCGCUAACGCAUACAAUUGGAGCGGCCGACAUCGGAUUAGCUAGGUGGUGGGGUAAAGGCUGACCAAGGACACGAUCCGUACCGGGUUUGAGAGGAGGACCAGACACACUGGGACUGAGACACGGCCCAGACUCCUACGGGAGGCAGCAGUGGGGAAUCUUGGACAAUGGGGGAAACCCUGAUCCAGCCAUCCCGCGUGUGUGAGAAGGCCUUCGGUUUGUAAAGUACUUUUGGCAGAGAAGCGGUAUCUGCAGAAUAAGCACCGGCUAACUUCGUGCCAGCAGCCGCGGUAAUUC